UGGAAGAAGAAUCCAAGUUGUUCUAUUUAUUGAUAAGCAAAACCUUUAUUUUUUACUACAAAGAUAUUUAUUUCUACAUUGUAUUUAUUUUUUCAUGUAAAGCACACUGAACCUGAUAGUUUACAGAACAUCACAAUUCUUUGUGUUACCUCCUACUGACUUAACUGUGAGCAAAACUGGACUGGAGAACGCAGGCUGUGCAGGUAUGCUGUCGGGAGUCACUUACGUGUGUGGAAAUGAUACUGAAGCAGAAAUUACAGAUCUGCCUGCAUGUCUGGGGUGCAAUUACCAACAUGUAUUAAUUGCUUGGGGCCCUCAAACUGUAUAAAAACUGAGUUGCAACGUGCUAGAUAUUGUUUAAAAUCGUGGUUUGGAUUCUGAGGUUGUGAGCUGCUCUCAGUGUAGCUUGAAGUCUUAAAAUGCUUGUUUUAAACACUUAGCAGCAGCAGUCCUGCACGUGAAAGGGGUGAAAAACUGUCAACCCUGUUUCAGCUGCCAGGCUGUAACGUUGACACGAAUGCACAUGUUCAGUACACACUUUAAAACAGUUGAAUAAGCUUGAACAGCGAUGAAAUUCUGACCUCAAACAUAUGCAAGAGGUGAAGUAGCUGGAACGGAGGCCAGAGUUUAUUUUCUCUCUGUGUCUGGAUUUGUUUGAUGAUGUUUUGGUGCAUAAUACCCUCCUCCCACAAAAAAACCUGAACAGAUGCCUAAGCUGGAUUGGGAGUUAAUUAGUUAAAUGCAAUUAAAACUACUGUGUGUAUACCUUGUGUGUGAUGGAGGUGGGGAGAGGAGGAGAAAAGCAAAAGUUUAUCCCUGGUGAAAUAUUUGUGCUGGAAUUUUAAGCCAUUUAAUUAUUCUGUUGUUUUCUGGAACUGCAUGAAGGAGCCUGUUCUGGUUCAUGAUAUAAGGCUCAGCCAUGUGAAUCCCUGGCUACCAUGUUUGCUGCUUAGACAGGACUCUGUGAGAUAAUAAGAUCAGCAUGUUUCUAUUCCCAGAAAAAUUAGUUCUGAGAUGGAUCUAGAACAGUCCCAUGCAAUGUCGAAGCUGUGGUGGGGUGGCUGCUGAGAUGCCCGUUGGACUGAGUAUGUGCACUAUUGACAUGAAUAGCCUUCCCCGGUUCCCACUGGAGCCAGCUUGGACUUUUAUCCUCAUGUUUACCUCAGCUGGCAUAACUUGGAUUAUUUUCAGCAGGAACCUUAGCAAUUUGCUAGGGGACUGUAGAUAACUUGGAAGGGGAAGAAGAAAACAAUUGUGAGUGAAGUACUACUGCCAUGAAACACAAAAACAUGCUUGACAUAAUAAAGGAAACAAGCUGGAGCAUCACUGCUGUGCUGGUGGUUCUUGUGAUGGACUGCGUGAGAGCUUUGUUUAACGCAAUACUUACAAAAGCAGCUGAUGGAGUUGUUACUAAAUCUGCAGGGCCAACAGUUCAGCUGGCAGUUCAGUUCUGGGCCCCUCACUACAAGGACAUGGAAGGGAUGAAGCAUGACUGGAGAAGGGAGUGGAGCUGGGCGAGGGACUGGAGAACAAGGGUUCUGAGAAGCGGCUGAGGGACCUGCUGUUGUUUAGCCUGGAGAAAAGGAGGCUGAGGCCUCAUCACUGCAUCCCUGAAAGGAGAUUUUAAUGAGUUGGGUGCUGGUCUCUUCUCCCAAGUAACUGGUGAUAGUGCGAGAGUGAAUGGCCUCAAGUUGUGCCAGGGCAGGUUCAGGUUGGACCUCAGGAAAAAUCUUCUCCCUGCAAGAGUUCUCAGGCCCUGGCAGAGGCUGCCCAGCGAGGUGGUGCAGUCCCCAUCCCUGGGGGGGAUUAGCAGACAGGCAGACGAGGUGCUCAGGCAUGGUUUAGUAGUGGACAGGUAUGGUUGGACUUGAUGAUCUCAAAGGUCUUCUCCAACCAAACGAUUCUAUGAUUCUGUGAGCAGUGCAGACACUUGCUUAGCUGUGCAAGUGGAAGCGGCGGUAUAGAUAUUAGGAGGGUCAGGGUGCCUGCGGAGAUGAUACUUGGGCUGAUCCACCCGUCACUUACUGAGGUGAAUAAAACUUGUUCUCUGUUAUGUUAGCCUUGGUGAGAAAUGUCAAUACAGUUUUGGUGUGGCUGUGGCUUUUUUCCUCAGUGUGAAGUCAGUGGAGGGCUUUUGCAUGGUCACUGCUUUCCUUCAUCUCUUUGCAUUGCCGCUCUAGAUUCACGUUGUUUUCUUUAAAUUAACCAUAAUCUGCAUUUUUUUUUUAGCAGAAUAACAAUGUAUGGUGUGUUGUCUUUGCCACAGGACUGAGCCUACCUCUUUCAUGUUCUGCAGAGAGUUCAUUGUGCACCUCGAGCUUUUUCUCUCUUUGCCUGUGGCGGAUGGGUCAGUGCUACACAAAGCCCAGCGAGCACAAGGUUUCUCUCUGUUCUCAGAGCUGCCAGCCCCAUCUGUGAGAGUGUGCUCCACUGGGAGAACAUCCAGCCCAAGCAUCCAGAGGGGAAGGGCCCAUUAACCCAACCCAAAAGCGUGCUUGUGUGGCAGACCCGGUCAAGCCUGGUCCGAGCGUGAACGCCCUGUGGCGGGCAGGGGCAUGGCCGUAUCCACCGAGGCCUUCUCACAAGGCCUGCCGCGCCCAGCUGCGUUGCCUGAUGACAAAACCACCUCUCGGAUUCAAGCUGGAUUAAGCUCCCAUUGUGUAGAUGUGUGUUGAAAGCCAGGCUCCCGGGGCUUAGCCCUGCUCGGAACUGAUAGCAGGGGUUAUCCAGGUAGACAUAAACUGGAGAGUGCGCAAGCUGCCCUCGAUCAGUGUGCAGGCAUGCAGCAGUGCGGGAUUGCGAAGGAACGGAAAAGCCUCCUGGCAUGCAGUUCAGGAGCAGGAGCACACAUAAUUAGAAAGUGCAUAAUUAGCUUGUGUUCUUCCCUUACAUGUGAAGUGGUUAGGUUGAAUCCAAGAGAUUCCUGCAGAAUGGGAGAACUUGAGCUGACCAGAGUCGCCAGAGCAUUUAUCACAAGAUGUUUGGUUUAAAAACAAUAAUUGUGAACUAGUUUUGUUGCUUGGAGCUCACUGCUGAGGAGACGCAGGUUGUUGCUAGGGUGAAGCCUGUGCUCUCCUUCGGCGAGAGUUGAGUGGUUGGCGAGUGUGUCCGUUAUGGAACAGGGCCUUUCUGGUGCUCCACUCCAGUCUGGCUACAACAGUGCCCUUCAGAGAGACCGGUCCUGCUGGUUCCGCACUGCCUGUGGCUGAGGGAGCCAGAUGACAUCUGGGGCUGUGCAGAGGGGGUCAGUACAAGACAUGCAGGUGACAGGUACGUCUGAGACCUGCCAGCACUCCACAAGUGUCACUGCUUUCAUUAUCCAUACCCACUUCCUCCAACAGAGACAGAGGGGCUAUUAUGUCAGGAGGAAUGAAGGGAGCACCCAAAAUAGGAGGCAGCAGCUUACCUGUUCCUUCAGUCCUUUUCUCGGUGCCUGUGCCUCACGCAGUUGUGCAUAGCUCCUACCUACAGUCCCAGGCCGUGCACUGGGCUGGUGGCCAGCGCUUCUCUGGAGUGUGGUGCACACAGGAAGGCUGGAUGGGAAGUGAUGAGCGUGUCCCUUGGGCUCGCUGGAGCCUGGGAUCAGAGACCUCUUGCUGGCAGUCAGUGCUGGAGAACAGCAUCCCUUAUCAUUGUCUCCGAUCACUUCUUACUCUCAGCAUUGGCUGUUCUGGCAGUUCCUAUGGAGGGCAGGGAGCUGAGGUACGGGGAGAAUCAGGGAAGGAACACAAGCAGAGCAGGAGCUGGUUAGGGACCCUGAACUCCAGAGAAGCAUCCCAAAUGCCGAUGGUCCUCUAGAGAGUAACACAACACCUACAUUACUAGGGGAAAGGAAGAUCCGUUUUUUUUGCAACACAUCAUCUUUUGGUUUGCUCACACCGCUUUGCUGUAUUUCGUUGAUCAGCCCUGGCAGAUAACAGGUCUCUCCUUAAAACUGUACUUUUGCGUGCACGAUUCUGCCCACGGGUAAUAGGAAGCCGGGGUUUCAAAAGAAAACCUGAUGCCAUUGCCAGAUAAUAGCAGUUUCCUAAAUAAAUGUGUGGUUGCCCUGGGGGCUGAGGUGGUUGCCAGAUGCACCUUUUCUUGAUUGGUGAGAACGGCAGAUGACGCUUCCUGGCGUAUAAAGUGCACGAGAAACCACGGGAGCACAGAUAAGGAGAGCAAGCGUCUGGAAAGAAGAGCUGAGAAGGUGUUGAAGCUGCUGUUUGCCAUGGCAUUUGGAAUGCUAAUCUAUGUUUUGCUGAAAGCGAUGGGGGCAGUGAGUGAAGAGUCAGCUGUUGCUGUAUCAUCCCUCAGCACAGACUUGUGGAAUAACUGGACAAAAAACAGCGCUGAAGCAGACUACACAGAGCAGCCGAAACUCUUGAAGCUUAUGCAGGCCUGUCUGGAAGAGCACUACAGCUAUUGCAUCAACGGGCUCUGCGCUUUUCACAGCGAGCUGAGGAGACCCAUAUGCAAGUGCCUUGCAGGUUACAAUGGAGAGAGGUGUGAACAUCUAACACUAAAUUCGUAUGCGCACACUUCGUACGAACGCUACAUUGCUGUGGGAAUAGGCAUAGGAAUACUGACAAGUGGGAUACUGGCUAUCAUCUACUGCUACGUAAGAAAGAGAUGCAGGAAAUUGAAGUCACCCUACAAAGUCUGCACAGGCGAGACGGCGUUGUGAAGGGCUGGCGAUGGGACACUUACUAAUUUGCCUGUCACCGAGAGGAAGUUCCGCUGGGAAGGCAGUCCCCCUCUGAGCCAUCUGACAGGGACCCCAGCUUCACAGAAGAGGUGAAAUGAAGGGAAUGACAGAGCGAGUACGCGAAAGGAACUCCUGCAGAGCUGGUGGGCUCCGCUCACUUCUGAAGAAAGACUUCCUCUUUUAGCACAGUUUGCUGGAUGAGCAGGUCCGAACGGCUAAGGAUAUCCGCAGCCCUCUCGGCGCUCACCUGUGGCAGAUAUUUGCUGAGGGCAGGACUGUUUGGCUUUGGCUGUUUUCAGUCAUUUCAAGCCCUAGUACAGCAUUCUGCUCGUGUCUUUUCUGUUGGGUUCCCCCCCCUUUUCUUUUUUUCUUUCCUCUGGAGGAAAAGCACAACCUGCCUCACCAUGGAGUUGUGUUCUGAACAUCACUGGCUGACAAGAAACUGUCUGGGUUCUGGUGUCAGUGUCUGCUGCCUCUGUGUGUGGACAAACAGCUCUGUUCCAGCGCAGCAGUUACCUUCAGUACACUAAGCAAAGUACAGCCGUCUGUCGCCAGAAAGGACAAAAACAUUAAAUGCUUUGGACUGAGGAGAAUGGAGGGUUCUCAAGAGCUUACUGGAACUUAGGAACAGGGAGUAAGCAGUUCCUGGAAAAGCAGAUCCUGGCACCUCUGGGCACGCCACGUUCUUGCGAAGGAAUUGAACAGCUUUCUCAAAAUGGGUUAUUGAGUGUGCCCAUGACAAAGCACUGUGCUCUUCCCAAACAUCGUGUAGAGGCUCAAUGGACUGAUGAACUCGAGGCACAACGUUCCCUUUCUGUGCUGUGAUUUUGGCACAAGACUCCAUUUGCUGGAGGAGGCGGAAGUUCGUUAUGGAACUUCAGUACAGCUUUCCCAGGAAGCCGAUUCUCUCUAUUCCAUUCUCACAUUAUGUGCACAAUGUGACACUCAAAUAAGAAAGAAAUGAUUGCAGGGAUUUUGUUCCUCUCUGGACAGAUUCCAGGUGAGGAGCUGGUUUUGAUUAAUAUUGUGUAUGAUGAAUUGCAAAGGGUAAAGGACUUUGUUCAAGGAAAAGGGAAGAAAAUUGGUUCUGAAGGCAGUGGCACUACUGUGACUUCUCACUGACAGCCAGCGUGUUUGCCAGGGAUGAGACUGGGGGUGGCUCUGAGAUGUUCACUUCAGCUCUUGCGCAUUGUAGACGCAUUCGCUGUGAUUCAUCAUCUCUGAGAAAAAGGCAGUUAGGUACUUGGUGAUUUUGUGAGACGAUACCAGCUCCUGAAUUCAGGUGCCGUGCUGGAAAUCACAAUUUCUUCCUUAAGGGAAUUAACUCUAACAACAGGAUGCAUGCCAUUUGUGGAAAAAAAACCAGUGUAUUUGUGAGGCUGCAAUGAUAGUGCUGAAAUGCAUGUGAAAGAUGGGGUUUGGAAGGGAAAAAGUGGCACUCAAAUGGUCUGAAGCAAGUGGGCUUCUCGCUCAGGGGGAUCCUGGUCAGUAGAUGAGUCAUCUUGGCUCUCUGUUUGAUACCAAUAAAUAAAACACCCCACGUGCUGUUUGGUUGGAGUCCCCAUGCAGCAGAAUGAAGCAAGACAUGCGUGCCCAGGAAGGAUUGCUGGUGAGGAGCUCGGCAGAGACAGGCACCAGUCCUUUCCUGAGCGCUUUGUGAGGGGCACUGAGCUGACUUUCCAACCCUGAGCCUUUUUUUGAAGUUCUCUUCACUUCAAGUUAAGUCUUCAGAUCUCUCUCUGUUAUUUGCUCCUUUCCAUUCUUCUGACUUUUUCUCGCUCGGCAUCCAUUGAGAGACAGCUUCUGCUUUUUGUGAUUUUCAGGUCGUCUUUUAGUAGACUUUUAGUAGCUGCCCUAAUAAUUCCUGUGUCAUGCGUAUGUGUCACGAUAUGAAAUACAGUCCGCGCAUCUGCACACAGACACCGAACCCCACCCUUGCGCCUCGCACACACUGCACAGAUGGAAUGGAAAUACCUGCUAGAAGCAUGCCUGUCAUCAGGAAAACACAGGGACAGAUCUUUCUCAUGAGUCUCGGAGGAAAUUUGAGAGUUAGAUAGGCCAAAAGAUGAAAAGCCUCAAAGCUUCUGUUGCAAGAGUGAAUUUCCUUCCUUCAGUGAGUUGUCUCUUCCUGCACACGCAUUGCAAGUGUUGUGUUCACUUCUAGAGGACCAACCCUUCUGCACCAUAGAGGAGCAGGCACACACGGUAACGUGACUUGCCUAGGGCAUCCGUGCGGUUGGUAAAGGAGUUCUAAAGACAGGAGUUUGAACCACUGGACUUUCAGCUAUCCAAAGAAAGCUGUCAGGGAGAGAUGGAUUUUGUUUGGUUUAAACCAUUUCUGUGUCCUUUUACUGACUUUUUGGCCACCUUUUACUUACCAGUGGCUGAGCAGAUGCCUCACAAGAUGUUUAAGUGCUGCAUCAAAGUGUGUGCUCCUUGCAGUGAGAUGCUCUGUGCCUACAGAAACACACAGUGACUGCCUUUUCGUAAUGUCUGGUUAAACAUAACUGGAAAGGAAGGUUGAUUUCAAGGCCACUAUUUAGCAGGAGAUUAAGUAGUGAAAUAUUUUUUCUAGUUUGCUUUCUGCCAGUGGAAGCUUGCUGAGAUUCUGCUAGUGGAAGAGAAACUGGAGAGUCAAACACCAGAUGACAGUGUGCCACACAAAAUGAGACUUCGUGUAAGGGCAGGGUGAGAAUAAAGUGGAAAAACAAAGAUGGGAAGAAGGAAGGAAAAGCAUGUCUUUGCUUUACUGUAAUUUUCUUUUCCCAAGUGGUAUCGAGGCUUCCAGAAAUGAGUUUCUCGCCACCUGGCUGCUGUGGAUGCACAACGCGGAGCAGGCUUCUGGCUUCUCAGAUAUCCAAGGCUGGUGGCACCAGUACAAGUGACAGCUUCUCCAUCAGGCUGUAGUCCCUGUGAGAGAAAGGCAAUGUCAGCGCAGUUUGAAGCACCAGCCUUGCAGGUGGAAGACACAGGAGAGGGCAGCGAUGGAGAGCCCACAGAUGGGACCCGCUACUGUGGUUGGAGCCUGACAGGAGCCGCACCUCCACACUGCUGACCUAAGGAAAUGCUCCCACUAUAAGCAGUACGAUUUGUUACCUAUUGCAAAUGGUCCUGGGCACAACAGUGAUCCCACUCUGCGGGCCUGGGGAGAUGGAGAACUGCACAACAGCGCUAAUCCAGACAGAGAACAGUCCACGUGUGGCUCAGGUUGGGAUAACGAGAUGCAAGCCUG